rnacentral:rRNA from 1 species
GACGAACGCUGGCGGCGUGCUUAACACAUGCAAGUCGAGCGGUAAGGCCCUUUCGGGGGUACACGACGCGGGCGAACGGGUGAGUAACACGUGGGUAAUCUGCCCUCGGUUCUGGGAUAGCCCGGGGAAACCCGGAGUUAAUACCGGAUGGGCCUCUCGAGCUUUCGGGCACGAGAGAAAAGGUAGCUUCGGCCUCCGACCGAGGAUGAGCCCGCGGCCGGAUUAGCUUGUUGGCGGGGUAACGGCCCACCAAGGCGACGAUCCGGAGCUGGUCUGAGAGGACGAUCAGCCACACUGGGACUGAGACACGG